GAGAGCCGUGUGAUGGGUGACUAUCCAGCACGGUUCGGAGGCACUUUGAGUCUGCGCUGGUGAAUGGAAGCCUCC
rnacentral:ncRNA from 1 species